rnacentral:tRNA from 1 species
GUUUCUAUAGUUGAAUA